UACGAAGGGGGCUAGCGUUGUUCGGAAUCACUGGGCGUAAAGGGCGCGUAGGCGGCUUGAUAAGUCGGGGGUGAAAGCCUGUGGCUCAACCACAGAAUUGCCUUCGAUACUGUCGAGCUUGAGACCGGAAGAGGUAAGUGGAACUGCGAGUGUAGAGGUGAAAUUCGUAGAUAUUCGCAAGAACACCAGUGGCGAAGGCG
rnacentral:rRNA from 1 species